UCGGGAAUUUUGUGCAAUGGGCGAAAGCCUGACACAGCAACGCCGCGUGAAGGAUGAAGUAUUUCGGUAUGUAAACUUCGUAAGAAUAGGAAGAAUAAAUGACGGUACUAUUUGUAAGGUCCGGCUAACUACGUGCCAGCAGCCGCGGUAAUACGUAGGGACCAAGCGUUGUUCGGAUUUACUGGGCGUAAAGGGCGCGUAGGCGGCAAUUCAAGUCAUCUGUGAAAUCUCCGGGCUUAACUCGGAACGGUCAGAUGAUACUGCUUUGCUAGAGUGCAGAAGGGGCAAUCGGAAUUCUUGGUGUAGCGGUGAAAUGCGUAGAUAUCAAGAGGAACACCUGAGGUGAAGACGGGUUGCUGGGCUGACACUGACGCUGAGGCGCGAAAGCCAGGGGAGCAAACGGGGAUUAGAUACCCAGGUAGUCCCUGAGCGGGCUGGCAAGGCGCAU
rnacentral:rRNA from 1 species